CCCCAGGGUCGUAGCUGCCGCGGAUGGACACACGCGCGAUGUUCGCGUCGUAGCCCCAUGACCCGCCGCGCAACACGCGUUCGGAGCCAGUGGCCGGUCCGCGCGGAUUUGUCUGCGGCAACGCGCCAUAAGGGUCGUGCCAGUCCCAGCACCACUCCCACACAUUACCGGUGAUCUCAUGAAGUCCAUGGCCAUUUGGUGCGAAACUCCCCACCGGUGAAGUGAAGGGAUCCGCCAAACUCCCCACCAGUAAAGUGAAGGGAUCCGCCCCGUCGCCGUAUGCCGGAUGAAAUCCGCGGGUCGGGCUCACGUCGUAGGCCAAUCGCUCAUCGCUUUGGUAGUUCGCCUGGCUGUGAUCGAUGGUAUCUCCCCAGGGAAAGCGUUUCCCCACCAACCCGCCGCGUGCCGCCCUCUCCCACUCCGCCUCCGUGGGCAGUCGGUAGCCGUCCUUGCUCCAGUCGCAGGUUACGUCCUCCGCCCGCCCCGUCCUGUAGACGGCUCCGACGGAACUGUAGCACGGCGCCAGUCCCUCCCGCUCGCUGCGCGCAUUGCACCACUUCACCACGUCCCACCACGAGACCCCCUGCACCGGAUGAUCCGGCGCCUUUCCAUCUCCCGCGUUGUCGAAUCCGUAGCCAUUCGCCAACGCCCACCCAGACGUGGCGUCCCACUCCCCCUUGGUCACCUCCGUCCUCCCCAUGAAGUAGGCGCUGAUUUGGACGGUGUGCACCGGUCGUUCAUCCUCCUCUCCCUCCCCAAGCGCGUUGCCCAUCU
rnacentral:misc_RNA from 1 species